rnacentral:rRNA from 1 species
AGGACGAACGCUGGCGGCGUGCCUAACACAUGCAAGUCGAACGGGGGGAACAUGAAGUAUUUCGGUACGGAAUGCGCCCCUAGUGGCGAACGGGUGAGUAACACGUGGGCAACCUGCCCCAGACUGGGGGAUAACAUUGUGAAAACAGUGCUAAUACCGCAUGACAGGGUUCCGGGCAUCCGGGACCCUUGAAAGGAGAAAUCCGGUCAGGGAUGGGCCCGCGUCCAAUUAGCUAGUUGGCGGGGUAACGGCCCACCAAGGCGACGAUUGGUAGCCGAACUGAGAGGUUGAUCGGCCACAUUGGGACUGAGACACGGCCCAGACUCCUACGGGAGGCAGCAGUGGGGAAUAUUGGGCAAUGGGCGAAAGCCUGACCCAGCGACGCCGCGUGAAGGAUGAAGGUCUUCGGAUUGUAAACUUCUUUGAUCAGGGAAGAAAGAAAUGACGGUACCUGAAAAACAAGCCACGGCUAACUACGUG